rnacentral:siRNA from 1 species
UCCGAACAUGCCGUGCUUGCCACA